rnacentral:rRNA from 1 species
CAGUCGCCGCGGUAACACAGAGGGUGCGAGCGUUAAUCGGAUUUACUGGGCGUAAAGCGUGCGUAGGCGGCUUCUUAAGUCGGAUGUGAAAUCCCUGAGCUUAACUUAGGAAUUGCAUUCGAUACUGGGAAGCUAGAGUAUGGGAGAGGAUGGUAGAAUUCCAGGUGUAGCGGUGAAAUGCGUAGAGAUCUGGAGGAAUACCGAUGGCGAAGGCAGCCAUCUGGCCUAAUACUGACGCUGAGGUACGAAAGCAUGGGGAGCAAACAGGAUUAGAUACCCUGUAGUCCCUGUCUCUUAUACC